AUGAAUCUAACAAUUCUGCUGUUGUUCUUUAUUCCUGCUUCCAGAGGUGAUGUUGUGAUGACCCAAACUCCACUGGCCCUGCCUGUCAGUCUUGGAGAUCAAGCCUCUAUCUCUUGUAGAUCUAGUCAGAGCCUUGUACAUGGUAAUGGAAACACCUGUAUGUAUUGGCUCCUGCAGAAACCAGGCCAGUCUCCACAGCUCCUUAUCUAUCAGGUCUCCACCCGAUUUUCUGGGGUCCCAGACAGGUUCAGUGGCAGUGGGUCAGGCACAGAUUUCACACUCAAGAUCAUCAGAGUGGAGCCAGAGGAUUUAGGAGUGUAUUACUGCAUGCAAAGUUCAUACCGUCCUCCCACAGUGAUGCAAACCCUAACAAAAACAUUUUUGUAA